AGUGAACGCUGGCGGUAGGCCUAACACAUGCAAGUCGAACGGCAGCACAGUAAGAGCUUGCUCUUACGGGUGGCGAGUGGCGGACGGGUGAGGAAUACAUCGGAAUCUACUUUUUCGUGGGGGAUAACGUAGGGAAACUUACGCUAAUACCGCAUACGACCUACGGGUGAAAGCAGGGGAUCUUCGGACCUUGCGCGAUUGAAUGAGCCGAUGUCGGAUUAGCUAGUUGGCGGGGUAAAGGCCCACCAAGGCGACGAUCCGUAGCUGGUCUGAGAGGAUGAUCAGCCACACUGGAACUGAGACACGGUCCAGACUCCUACGGGAGGCAGCAGUGGGGAAUAUUGGACAAUGGGCGAAAGCCUGAUCCAGCCAUACCGCGUGGGUGAAGAAGGUCUUCGGGUUGUAAAGCCCUUUUGUUGGGAAAGAAAAGCAGCAGGUUAAUACCUCGCUGUUUUGACGGUACCCAAAGAAUAAGCACCGGCUAACUUCGUG
rnacentral:rRNA from 1 species